rnacentral:rRNA from 1 species
CCCGCUGAACUUAAGCAUAUCAGUCAGCGGAGGAAAAGAAACUAACAAGGAUUCCCCUAGUAACGGCGAGCGAAGCGUGAAGAGUUCAAAUUUAAAAUCUGGGUGGGUCUCCCACUCCGAAUUGUAAUUUAAAGAGGCGCUAUCUGGGCCUGGCCUGGUGCUCAAGUCCCUUGGAAUAGGGCGUCACAGAGGGUGAGAACCCCGUCUGGGCACUGGUGCUGGGUCCUCCAUGAGGCGCUUUCUACGAGUCGAGUUGUUUGGGAAUGCAGCUCAUAAUGGGUGGUAAAUUUCAUCUAAGACUAAAUACUGGCAAGAGACCGAUAGCGAACAAGUACCGUGAGGGAUAGAUGAAAAGCACCUUGAAAAGGGAGUUAAAUAGUGCGUGAAAUUGUUAACAGGGAAACGAUUGGGACCAGUAUUGCUGCUGGCGUAAAAAUUUACAAAAAUGGCAAACCUGUGUGGGCGUGCACUCGGGCGGGGAGGAAGUCAUCGUCAGUUUUGGGCUUCCGGAAAGAGGCAGGGGGAAGAUGGGGCUGCCCCUCGGGCACGCCUUUUAUAGACUCUGGCUGGCACGAGGAGCCUGGACUGAGGUGCGCGGCUGCAGUACUCACGGCUCGAGCCCGGCCCCCAUGGGGCAAGGACUACACGUAGGCCUUGCUCGUAAGGGCUGGAGGUAGGGCCGUGCAUGCAGUUCAAGGAUGCUGACGAAAUGGUCUUAAACGACCCGUCUUGAAACACGG